ACCCUUUAAUGUUUGAUGUUCUAACGUGGACCCGUGAUCCGGGUUGCGGACAGUGUCUGGUGGGUAGUUUGACUGGGGCGGUCUCCUCCUAAAGAGUAACGGAGGAGCACGAAGGUUGGCUAAUCCUGGUCGGACAUCAGGAGGUUAGUGCAAUGGCAUAAGCCAGCUUGACUGCGAGCGUGACGGCGCGAGCAGGUGCGAAAGCAGGUCAUAGUGAUCCGGUGGUUCUGAAUGGAAGGGCCAUCGCUCAACGGAUAAAAGGUACUCCGGGGAUAACAGGCUGAUACCGCCCAAGAGUUCAUAUCGACGGCGGUGUUUGGCACCUCGAUGUCGGCUCAUCACAUCCUGGGGCUGAAGUAGGUCCCAAGGGUAUGGCUGUUCGCCAUUUAAAGUGGUACGCGAGCUGGGUUUAGAACGUCGUGAGACAGUUCGGUCCCUAUCUGCCGUGGGCGCUGGAGAACUGAGGGGGGCUGCUCCUAGUACGAGAGGACCGGAGUGGACGCAUCACUGGUGUUCGGGUUGUCAUGCCAAUGGCACUGCCCGGUAGCUAAAUGCGGAAGAGAUAAGUGCUGAAAGCAUCUAAGCACGAAACUUGCCCCGAGAUGAGUUCUCCCUGAGACUUAAAGUCUCCUGAAGGAACGUUGAAGA
rnacentral:rRNA from 1 species